UAGAAUGAACCGGCGAGUUACGAUCCCGUGCAAGGUUAAGCAGAAGAUGCGGAGCCGCAGCGAAAGCGAGUCUGAAUAGGGCGAAUUGAGUACGUGGUCGUAGACCCGAAACCAGGUGAUCUACCCAUGUCCAGGGUGAAGUUCAGGUAACACUGAAUGGAGGCCCGAACCCACGCACGUUGAAAAGUGCGGGGAUGAGGUGUGGGUAGGGGUGAAAUGCCAAUCGAACCUGGAGAUAGCUGGUUCUCUCCGAAAUAGCUUUAGGGCUAGCCUCAAGGUAAGAGUCUCGGAGGUAGAGCACUGAUUGGACUAGGGGCCCCUACCGGGUUACCGAAUUCAGUCAAACUCCGAAUGCCGAUGACUUAUCCUUGGGAGUCAGACUGCGAGUGAUAAGAUCCGUAGUCGAAAGGGAAACAGCCCAGACCGCCAGCUAAGGUCCCAAAGUAUACGUUAAGUGGAAAAGGAUGUGGAGUUGCUUAGACAACCAGGAUGUUGGCUUAGAAGCAGCCACCAUUUAAAGAGUGCGUAAUAGCUCACUGGUCGAGUGACUCUGCGCCGAAAAUGUACCGGGGCUAAACGUAUCACCGAAGCUGCGGACUGUUCUUCGAACAGUGGUAGGAGAGCGUUCUAAGGGCUGUGAAGCAAGACCGGAAGGACUUGUGGAGCGCUUAGAAGUGAGAAUGCCGGUAUGAGUAGCGAAAGAGGGGUGAGAAUCCCCUCCACCGAAUGCCUAAGGUUUCCUGAGGAAGGCUCGUCCGCUCAGGGUUAGUCGGGACCUAAGCCGAGGCCGAAAGGCGUAGGCGAUGGAUAACAGGUUGAUAUUCCUGUACCACCUCCUCACCAUUUGAGCAAUGGGGGGACGCAGGAGGAUAGGGUAAGCGCGGUAUUGGAUAUCCGCGUCCAAGCAGUUAGGCUGGGAAAUAGGCAAAUCCGUUUCCCGUGAAGGCUGAGCUGUGAUGGCGAGCGAAUUAUAGUAGCGAAGUUCCUGAUUCCACACUGCCAAGAAAAGCCUCUAGCGAGGUGAGAGGUGCCCGUACCGCAAACCGACACAGGUAGGCGAGGAGAGAAUCCUAAGGUGAUCGAGAGAACUCUCGUUAAGGAACUCGGCAAAAUGACCCCGUAACUUCGGGAGAAGGGGUGCUCUGUUAGGGUGCAAGCCCGAGAGAGCCGCAGUGAAUAGGCCCAGGCGACUGUUUAGCAAAAACACAGGUCUCUGCGAAGCCGUAAGGCGAAGUAUAGGGGCUGACGCCUGCCCGGUGCUGGAAGGUUAAGAGGAGCGCUUAGCGUAAGCGAAGGUGCGAAUUGAAGCC
rnacentral:rRNA from 1 species